GAUGAACGCUGGCGGCGUGCCUAAUACAUGCAAGUCGAGCGAAGCGGGGACGCGUGAGUAACACGGGGAUAACCACCUAUAAGACUGGGAUAACUUGGGGAAACAGGAGCUAAACCGGAUACAUAAAGAUGGAGCAGGGCUGCAUUAGCUUGUUGGUAAGGUAACGGAUUACCAAGGCAAUGAUGCAUAGCCGACCUGAGAGGGUGGUCGGCCCCACUGGAACUGAGCCCCGGUCCAGACUCCUACGGGAGGCAGCAGUAGGGAAUCUUCCGCAAUGGGCGAAAGCCUGACGGAGCAACGCCGCGUGAGUGAUGAAGGUCUUCGGAUCGUAAUACUCUGUUAUUAGGGAAGCGGUACCUAAUCAGAAAGCCACGGCUAACUACGUGCCAGCAGCCGCGGUAAUUC
rnacentral:rRNA from 1 species